GCAGUUUUGAGUUAUUAUCCAUGAUGUUUACUCACCCCUGAGUAUAUGUAUAUGUCAAAAGUUUUCAACAGCGAUAUUAUCUGUUUCCGAAGAACAAUUGGUGUCGCUUUUUAUUCGUUUGCUAGCACCCAACAUUAUUAUUGCAGAGGAUUUGAAAACAUAAAAAACAUCUCUUCAAAAUGAACAACCGCAUGUUGUGUGUUCUGCGAUGCCGUUUUAAGUCGGGCUUUUAUUCGUGAUAAUGAACGGAAACAUUUGUAUCGAUGUACAGUGCCCAAUACAUGCAAUCGAUACAAUUUAAAUCCUUCGCAGUGUUUGGUGACGGAUGAUGAUACUGUACAAAAACAUGAGCCACAGUUCACGGGCAACUGUGAACCGGUUGGUUGCCGCAUUAUAUAAAGACACGUGAAUGAUUUAAAACUUUUAUAAUGUUUCGAUGAAAAAUAAAUCUAUGAUUUUGAUUGUUCUGAAUUUAUUUUAUUUAUUGAGUAAGAUUUACAAAAACCAGAAAUCAUCAAGUUUCCAAAUUUAGGCAAACUGGGUAACUUGUACUCAUUUUCGUUAAUUCCUGGUUUGCAUAAACAGAGUAGAUUCUAAUCAGUUUUUGACGUAUGACGCCCUUACUCAGAAGUGAGUAACCGUAAAAGUACUCAAAUUAGGGUACCUCCACUCUUUUCCUAAAAUGGGUCAUAUCUAACUCACGUUAGAGUAACAAAUAAUGAGCGUGUAUAUUUACAGUCUGGCGGACAGAAAAUCAUCCGAUCUGGCAACUGGAUAAUUCGAUCAAAAUAGUUGGCAACUGCAGACAAAGUUCAAACCAUUGAAAACCUUUUUCGUUGUGAUCAAUAAUGUUUAAACUUUUGUGAAUUUUCUCCCGAUAUUACCGCAAAAAAUGAAGUGUUUCUAUUACAAAUGUUCGAACAGCUCUCGGUGUCAGAUGAAAAAUGUAGCGUUCUUCCGUUUUCCUAAAUUAGAAGAUUUAAGAAGUAGGUGGUUAACUUUUUGUAAUCUUCCUAUUGAGACUGAAGUUCCAGAAAAAGCCAGGCUGUGCAGCUUGCAUUUUUAAGAGCAUCAUGUAUAUUUAUCUUCGGCUGGUAAGAUUCUAAAAACGAGCAAGGCCGUUCCUAUAUUUGAAAAUGUUCCGCAACUAUGCUCUGAAGGGCGAAUGAAAAAACA